rnacentral:snoRNA from 1 species
CUGCAGUGAUGACUAUCUUAGGACACCUUUGGAUUAAAGAUGAAACUAACCAUUUAAGUCUGAGCAGC